ensembl:lncRNA
UGUUUGUUCAGUCACUUAACCAACUUUAUUUUCCAUAAUGUAUAGUGAAUGCAUAAACAGGCAUGUUACCAACAAACAAACAUUUAUCUGUCUCCAACAUCUGCUCCUCUGGUGUCAGAGAUAGACCCUGCCGCAGCUGAACAGGAGGGGAGGGACUCAACUCUCUCACUUGCAGACAUAACUGUUAAUGAAUCCCAAAUAAUGAAGUUGAUGUAAUUCAUCACAUACAUGUAUCUGUUUAAAUCGAAAUAUUUGUGCACAUUAGGUACAUCUCUAGUAGGGACACGAUUGGAUGGAACACUUUUUCAGAGUGAUUGCAGAGCGAGGGGCAGUGUAAUACGGUCUGUGUGUAGCUGGUGUAGGGGAGUAUUGCGCAGGACAGCAGAUAUGAGUAAAUUAAGGUACUUUACUCAAAAUAUACAAAUGCGAUACAAUAAAGAGAGCCCACAUUAACGGACGUUACUACAUAUAAACAUACUACUGGGAAAGGAGAGUUAAAUAAUGAACAAGUAAUUGGGGGAUUGAAACCUGAUGUUUAAUGUAAUUUUAAAUAUACCUUUAUUUUACGAGGCAAGUCAGUUAAGAACAAAUUCUCAUAAUCAAUGACAGCCUAGGAACAGUGGGUUAACUGCCUAUUCAGGGGCAGAACAACAAAUUUGUACCUUGUCAGCUCGGGGAUUCAAACUUGCAACCUUUCGGUUACUAGUCCGACACUCUAACCACUAGUCUACCCUGCCGAUGUGUAGGACAAAGACAAAACAAAUGGAAAAUGAAAAGUGGACCAGCGAUGGCUUGAAGGCCGGUGCUGGAUCUUCUCUCAAAAUAUUUUACAUACUGAUAGCUGACAAUGCGUGAUGACAAUUUCACCAAAUGUUUAAAAAAAAUCUUACCUAAUGCAGCUUUAACAUGAAAGCUUACUUAAAUUAGAUAAUCUAUUUCCAUCUUUGAAUCUGAGGCCGGCAUUAGCGUUGUAUGUUAGUAAAAUCAAAUCUUAAACUACUCAUCUUGCUAAGUGUAAAAAAAGAAUGUUGAACAAUGUUAUUACUGAUAAACUGCACAUUUCAUGGAACAAGCGGUUCCUAAAUGAUGUUGACUUACUGGUCAUUAUUUGUAGUUGAUCGGUAUAUAUGACAUGGUGUUUUGUAUUCACAUUGUUCACUUUGGCCUGCUAUUGUUUUUGUUUUCACGUGGUGGACGUUGACCUGCCCUGCUGAUACUGUGUAAUGUGUUCAGGUGAGUGACUCAACACAGGUUUCUCUAGCUAGCUCUGCUGAUACUGUGUAAUAUGUGUUCAGGUGAGUGACUAAACACAGGUUUCUCUAGCUAACUCUGCUGAUCCUGUGUAAUGUGUUCAGGUGAGUGACUAAACACAGGUUUCUCUAGCUAGCUCUGCUGAUCCUGUGUAAUAUGUGUUCAGGUGAGUGACUAAACACAGGUUUCUCUAGCUAACUCUGCUAGUCCUGUGUAAUGUGUUCAGGUGAGUGACUAAACACAGGUUUCUCUAGCUA